rnacentral:lncRNA from 1 species
GGGCAUAGUCGCUUGUUCUCCGCCCGCGGUGGACCAGCUGCGUAACGGUUCACACACUGAUGGCGCCUGGAGGUUUGGCGAAAUACUGACAGGAUGCGACGUCAACGGGAGCGCAGGGCCAAGAUACCCUUUAUAUCAAACCGUCUAUCCUGGAGCAGAAAAAUCCUGUCUUCAUUGCUAUAGCUACAGAUUCAGAAAUGAGCAUGUAACAAAUUCAGGCCAAAGAGAGGCAAUGGAAAUCAGAGAAACACUGUUCCUGAAAGCUUCUGUCACUCAAGAAUCCAUGAAACAUUCAUGAACUUCACAUCAGGUGCUAUUGUGGAGGUGCAUACCCAACAGUUUGAUAAUGUAGAGGAAGUGAUAGCUUUGUCUCGUGGAAUCUGGGUCGACCUCACAGAGGAGCUGUUAUUUGUUCUGGAUAUUGAACAGUGACAAGGAUUCAGUGGGAGAGAAAGAGGCGAGGAUUUUAAUGCAACUUGUUACACAAGAUGAACCCAAACAUAUUUGACUUUUUAUUUUCAGAAAAGCUUAAUACAUAGUUUUGAAUAUGGAUUGUCCCACAGGAUAAAUGCAUGAAAAAAGUUGGAAAAGAGAAAUUGAAUUACAUCCUAAUUGUAGUGUUUUCUCAGGCAGAUCAAUUUUAGAAAGAGAACAUUGACUUGGAAAACUGAAGAGUAAUUAUUCUAAAACGGUUGUAACAGUUUACUCCUUUUAUGUUUGCAAACUUCCAGGAUUAGUGAGUUGCAUAAAGUCACAUAAUUUAUUGCGUUGGUGCAAAAGUAAUUGUGGUUUUUGCCAUUAACAAAACCGCAAUUACUUUUGCAUCAGCCUAAUAUAAGUGAAUAAAUUAAUAUUAGAACACAGGUCUAAUUAAAAGGUUC